UUAUAUUUAAGCUUUUUGAAAUAUUCCCCACGCAAGCCAGGCUUAUUCAAAUUUUAUACGUGAAUGGACAGCACAUUGAAUCUAACAAAUGGGUGGUACAUUCUAAUUUGUGUAAAUUGUCAUGAGCCGUCUAGGACUUAUUUGGCUUGACGCAUAUUUCCAACAAAAUCCUUGAGAAUUUUAAUUAGUGUACAAAAAAUUGGAAUAUAACACAGCCUACACAGGGAUAGGGUGUGUGCCUUUAUUAAGAAAAAUGACUAUCUAGAGUUAUCUGUGUGGCGGCGAUACACAAACUUGCCACUUUCACACAAAAAAGUAGUGGCAGGACAAUCUCAAAAUGCAAGCUUAUUCACCGGAGAUUGAAGUGCAUUAUAUGUACUUUUCAUUAAUAACUGAUAACCCUCGUAGUCGUGGAUGAUUAGAAAGCUUAAUUUGUUUGAUUACUCAGAAACUCGAAGACCGUCCGCCAAAAAUUUGGUGCAAGCCCAGUAGCCCACAGUUAACGCAGAAAAUACUCCACCACGUGUUCACAUCAUUGCAUCUCUAAUGCACGUGUCAGAUCCCGACCCCAGAUCCAACGGUCCACACCCAAGCCACCAAUAAGCUCCACGUAGCCCCGAACCAGCAAAUGUAAAAAAAAAAAAGCUGCGGGGUUAGCUCCACGUAGCCCCGAACCAGCAAAUGUCCAACGGUCCACACCCAAGCCACCAAUAAGCUCCACGUAGCCCCGAACCAGCAAAUGUAAAAAAAAAAAAGCUGCGGGGUUACGUGUCACUCUUCCACAAAGCCCACGGGAUUCCUUCAUUCUGCUUCCGUCUCUUAAUUCUCC
rnacentral:lncRNA from 1 species